UACCAGCACCCCGAGUGGUCGGGACGAUUAUUGGGCCUAAAGCAUCCGUAGCCGGUUCUACAAGUCUUCCGUUAAAUCCACCUGCUUAACAGAUGGGCUGCGGAGGAUACUAUAGAGCUAGGAGGCGGGAGAGGCAAGCGGUACUUAGUGGGUAGGGGUAAAAUCCGUUGAUCCAUUGAAGACCACCAGUGGCGAAGGCGGCUUGCCAAUACGCGCUCGACGGUGAGGGAUGAAAGCUGGGGGAGCAAACCGGG
rnacentral:rRNA from 1 species